CUUCUCUCAGAAUUCUUCGAAUCGCCGCUGCGCCGCCGGAAGUUUCUCGUCUAUAAUUAUGGG
ensembl:ncRNA F56F3.12 ncRNA